CAUUAUAUAUCUUGCACAUAUUUCCACUAUCUAGUCUUAUUAAUAUUCUAUCCUAGAAGACCCAACUUUUGUUCAUUAUACUUUGAGACACCUAUAUGCAAGUUUAUUCAUGGAUAAAUUCUGGGAUAACCUAGUUGCAUUGAUCUAUUCGACAUUCAAUAUGCUUCAUGUCUGCCAACAAUUUUCUUCAAGCCACAUAAUUCAAUAUCUCUUCUUUUUUUUCCCCUCUCCUCUCCUCCCCUCCCUUUCCCCUUCAUUCUUCUAGGGUUUCUCCAGACCUAGGGUUUGAUCGGUUAUUCUUUAGAUCAACCGGAGACGGCAAACACUGAGGGCCGUUAACAUGGGCAAUGCUUUGUAACUAUCCGCCGACCUGCAGUUCGUCACCGCGACCCGGGCUUUUACCAAUCAGGAGCUGGAGGAUCUUAGAUCCCUCUUCGUGUCCCUGGCCGCCCAAUCCCAGAGCCACGGCAAGUUCGUUAGCCAAUCCGUCUUCAAGGUCAUGAAUUGUUCUUUUCUUUUUGGUAUUUCAUGACCGUAUUAUCUCCCCUUUGAUGUGGAAUUCCCAGCAUGUUUGUGCUAAAAAAUCUGUUCUAUUUGUGGAGGAGCCGUUGGGUUUUCUUAUUCUUUGUAAGAAAGUGGGAUGUAAUUAACCUGCAGGUAAUUAUGAAUGUA